GACGUAGGGCGCGAGCGUUGUCCGGAUUUAUUGGGCGUAAAGAGCUCGUAGGCGGCUUGUCGCGUCGAAUGUGAAAUCUCAGGGCUCAACUCUGACAUUGCAUUCGAUACGGGCAGGCUAGAGUUCGGUAGGGGAGACUGGAAUUCCUGGUGUAGCGGUGAAAUGCGCAGAUAUCAGGAGGAACACCGGUGGCGAAGGCGGUUCUCUGGGCCGAUACUGACGCUGAGGAGCGAAAGUGUGGGGAGCGAACAGG
rnacentral:rRNA from 1 species